rnacentral:tRNA from 1 species
CAGGGAAUGGGAUAAUCUGGUAGUCCGCCGCACUUGGGACGCGGUCGUCCGAGUUCAAAUCUCGGUUCCCUGA